AACGCACAUUGCGCCCCUUGGUAUUCCGAGGGGCAUGCCUGUUCGAGCGUCAUUACAACCCUCAAGCACUGCUUGGUAUUGGGCUCCGCUGGCUCCAGCGGGCCUUAAAAUCAGUGGCGGCGCCGUUUGGGCUCUGAGCGUAGUAAAUAUCCUCGCUAUAGAGACCAGGCGGUUCUUGUCAUCAACCCCCAACUUUCUAAGUUUGACCUCGGAUCAGGUAGGGAUACCCGCUGAACUUAA
rnacentral:misc_RNA from 2 species